UACGGGGGGGGCAAGCGUUGUUCGGAAUUACUGGGCGUAAAGGGCGUGAAGGCGGCCAACUAAGUCAGACGUGAAAUCCCUAGGCUCAACCUAGGAACUGCGUCUGAUACUGGAUGGCUUGAAUUCGGGAGAGGGAUGCAGAAUUCCAGGUGUAGCGGUGAAAUGCGUAGAUAUCUGGAGGAAUACCGGUGGCGAAGGCGGCAUCCUGGACCGACAUUGACGCUGUAGCGCGAAAGCUAGGGGAGCAAACGGG
rnacentral:rRNA from 1 species